UCUUUGGUUCAGAAACGAAGAAACUCCAAACAGAGUACAAACCUGCAUGCAUGGCGACUCGACCAGACUAACUGAGUGCAGGUGCAGGUCUCUCCUACUCUUCCUCUUCUUCUCCUCGUCGACCUUCUUUCAAUAUCUGACAACUGAGAACUGUUAUCUGCAGCCAGCCAGCCAUGUGUGAUGUCGUGACGAUGAAUUGAGCUCUGCGGUUUCAGUUUGUUGAGCCGGAAUUUUCGCGAGCAGAACCUGCCGAUGAAAUAUAGCGGUACUAGUAUUUGACACCUAUUGUACUUCUAUUUUCCAUUGGUCCAAAUCCCUAUUUCCGUUUUUUUUAGUUGCCUGUAUUUCUGAUUCGGGUGAAUCUGCACGCGGAUCCUCAAAAAAUCAAGAAAGCCUGGAAGUAUUUAAAUUACUGUAUUCUAAAGAAAAAAAGUUUUAAAGGAAUGAAU
rnacentral:lncRNA from 1 species